rnacentral:rRNA from 1 species
GACGGAGGGUGCAAGCGUUGUUCGGAAUUACUGGGCGUAAAGGGCGCGUAGGCGGUCUGUUAAGUCCGGUGUGAAAGCCCCCGGCUCACCUGGGGAACUGCGCCGGAAACCGACAGACUCGAGUACCGGAGAGGAGGGUGGAAUUCCUGGUGUAGCGGUGAAAUGCGCAGAUAUCAGGAAGAACACCAAUGGCGAAGGCAGCUCUCUGGGACGGUACUGACGCUGAGACGCGAAAGCGUGGGGAGCGAACAGG